rnacentral:rRNA from 1 species
ACGGGAGGCAGCAGUGGGGAAUCUUCCGCAAUGGGCGCAAGCCUGAUGGAGCAAUGCCGCGUGAGUGAAGAAGGUCUUCGGAUCGUAAAGCUCUGUUGAGAGGGACGAGAGAUAAUGUCAGGAAAUGGGCAUUAGAGGACGGUACCUUUCGAGGAAGCCACGGCUAACUACGUGCCAGCAGCCGCGUUAAUACGUAGGUGGCGAGUGUUGUCCGGAAUUAUUGGGCGUAAAGGGAGCGCAGGUGGGAUUGCAAGUCAGUCUUAAAAGUGAGGGGCUCAACCCCGUGAUGGGAUUGAAACUGCAGUUCUUGAGUGCAGGAGAGGAGAGCGGAAUUCCUAGUGUAGCGGUGAAAUGCGUAGAUAUUAGGAGGAACACCAGUGGCGAAGGCGGCUUUCUGGACUGUAACUGACACUGAGGCUCGAAAGCGUGGGGAGCGAACAGGAUUAGAUACCCUGGUA